UAGGGAAUCUUCGGCAAUGGGGGGAACCCUGACCGAGCAACGCCGCGUGAGUGAAGAAGGUUUUCGGAUCGUAAAGCUCUGUUGUUAAGGAAGAACGAGUGUGAGAAUGGAAAGUUCAUGCUGUGACGGUACUUAACCAGAAAGGGACGGCUAACUACGUGCCAGCAGCCGCGGUAAUACGUAGGGGCCGAGCGUUGUCCGGAUUUAUUGGGCGUAAAGCGAGCGCAGGCGGUUAGAAAAGUCUGAAGUGAAAGGCAGUGGCUCAACCAUUGUAGGCUUUGGAAACUGUUUAACUUGAGUGCAGAAGGGGAGAGUGGAAUUCCAUGUGUAGCGGUGAAAUGCGUAGAUAUAUGGAGGAACACCGGUGGCGAAAGCGGCUCUCUGGUCUGUAACUGACGCUGAGGCUCGAAAGCGUGGGGAGCGAACAGG
rnacentral:rRNA from 1 species